rnacentral:rRNA from 1 species
GAUGAACGCUAGCGGCAGGCUUAACACAUGCAAGUCGAGGGGCAGCACAGGUAGCAAUACUGGGUGGCGACCGGCGCACGGGUGAGUAACACGUAUGUAAUCUGCCCUUAACAGGGAAAUAGCUCGGCGAAAGUCGAAUUAAUGUCCCAUAUAAUUAUUGCUUGGCAUCAGGUGAUAAUGAAAGCUCCGGCGGUUAAGGAUGAACAUGCGGGUCAUUAGCUAGUUGGUAAGGUAACGGCUUACCAAGGCAACGAUGACUAGGGGUUCUGAGAGGAAGGUCCCCCACACUGGUACUGAGACACGGACCAGACUCCUACGGGAGGCAGCAGUGAGGAAUAUUGGUCAAUGGGCGCAAGCCUGAACCAGCCAUGCCGCGUGAAGGAAUAAGGCCCUAUGGGUUGUAAACUUCUUUUGUAAGGGGCGAACCUCCCGAACGAGUUCGGGACUGACAGUACCUUACGAAUAAGCAACGGCUAACUCCGUGCCAGCAGCCGCGGUAAUACGGAGGUUGCGAGCGUUAUCCGGAUUUAUUGGGUUUAAAGGGUGCGUAGGCGGGGAAAUAAGUCAGUGGUGAAAGUCUGUCGCUUAACGAUAGGAUUGCCAUUGAUACUGUUUUUCUUGAGUAUAGUUGAGGUAGGCGGAAUGUGUAGUGUAGCGGUGAAAUGCUUAGAUAUUACACAGAACACCGAUUGCGUAGGCAGCUUACUAAAGUAUAACUGACGCUGAGGCACGAAAGCGUGGGGAUCAAACAGGAUUAGAUACCCUGGUAGUCCACGCUGUAAACGAUGAUUACUCGAUGUGUGCGAUAUAUAGUACGCGUCUAAGCGAAAGCAUUAAGUAAUCCACCUGGGGAGUACGGCGGCAACGCUGAAACUCAAAGGAAUUGACGGGGGCCCGCACAAGCGGAGGAACAUGUGGUUUAAUUCGAUGAUACGCGAGGAACCUUACCUGGGUUUGAACGUAAGAUGACAGGGCCGGAAACGGUUUUUCCCUUCGGGGCAUUUUACGAGGUGCUGCAUGGUUGUCGUCAGCUCGUGCCGUGAGGUGUCGGAUUAAGUUCCAUAACGAGCGCAACCCUUAUCGUUAGUUGCCAUCGGGUCAAGCUGGGGACUCUAACGAAACUGCCGGUGUAAACCGUGAGGAAGGUGGGGAUGACGUCAAAUCAGCACGGCCCUUACAUCCAGGGCUACACACGUGUUACAAUGGCCAUUACAAAGGGCAGCUACUUCGCGAGAAGAUGCUAAUCUCUAAAGAUGGUCUCAGUUCGGAUUGAAGUCUGUAACCCGACUUCAUGAAGCUGGAUUCGCUAGUAAUCGCGCAUCAGCCAUGGCGCGGUGAAUACGUUCCCGGGCCUUGUACACACCGCCCGUCAAGCCAUGGGAGCCGGGAGUACCUAAAGUCCGUAACCGCGAGGGACGGCCUAGGGUAAUACUGGUAACUGGGGCU